AGAAUAGUAUAAUCAUUCAUUUCAACUAAAUUUGAAAGUCAAGUAUGUCAGAUGAAAUACAUAAAAAUGUCACACAAGUAAACUGUUGAAAUUAUAAAUGAAUUCGAAAACUUUGCUUGUCAGGCCAUAAAGUGACCAUUCUAUCACUCCAAGAAUAGCAUCAACAAACAAUCUGAGAACAACUCAAUGGAGAGAGAGAGAGUGAGAGAUGAGGCUCAAGAAGAAAGCCGCCAACCAGUUGACAACGCAUGUCAAUUAACAGGCUGCAAUUGCGACUCGGUCAUCUUCUGCUGCUGUUGCUGCUUGGGAGGCAUUUUCAACAGACUUCGCAAAUCAUAAACACAUAAAUUAUAUAGAGAAAGAUAUCAAGAGAAGGAUAGAAAGAGAGGGAGAGAGGGGAUCAAAUAAUCAAUUGGCAUCUUUCAGUUUUCAUCGCUGUCUGCUGAAUGUUGCCAUUUUAAUUGAGUCUAAAAAUAGCUGCGAGUACGAGAACGAAUACGAAUGCGAAUACGAGUGUUGAGACAACAACGAUGUGAGUGGGUAAAAGAAGAUGAGAAGAAGCAGAGGCAGAGUCCACUCGAGGGGGCAACCACAGCAACCACAACAACAACAACAAAUGUUGCGGAGGUCUUUGGCCAGUGAUUCGCUUGGAAAUGGAUUUGAAGUGGCAGCUGGAACUAUUUUUGGACCAGUGGCAAGCGGAAGAUUUCAGUUAGAACCAACUACAACUGAAUGGUGCUUAAUCUAACAUAGUUUAACGAGUCUAUUUUUAAAUAAAAUGGUCACUAGAAAAACCCUGCUUAACACCUCCUAACUCAACAUGAUUAACAAUCCUUUCUAGUGCUCAAAUUUCGCAUUCGCUUAUCUAAAUCUAUGCGCAAAGUUGCCCCACAAUCGUUUCGUAGUUACAAAAGCUAUAAAAACUCGAUUCAACAACACAUUUUUUAAUUCAUUUUUCACGGCCAAAAGUUCGCGGCAAAAACUCUGAUAAGCACUCUUCUUCUUAUACAUUGCUGUUGAACAACAUUGCACAUUAUAAAGAUUAUUUCGCUUAUCAGCGAGAACGGACAACAAAAAGAAAGAGAGAGAGACAAAUUCUUACACAAAUUAAAUAUUAUCAAGAAACAAGGAUUUUUCCCUCUAAAUAUAGAUUGAUGAUAAAUGCAAUAAAACC